ACUGCCCAACAAAUUCCGCAUCAUUACCGAACUAGAAAAAAUCGAACAAAACAACAUUAAUUAAAGAAAAUAAUUUAUAGUAAUUAUAAAAGAAAUUGAAGAAAGAAAAGAAAAAAACAAAGAUCAAAAUCCAUAAUCCUCCAUUCUUAAAAUACACUACCAAAUAUCAAAGCAGUGAAAUGAAUCCUUGAAUUCCAAAAU
rnacentral:lncRNA from 1 species